rnacentral:rRNA from 1 species
CCUACGGGAGGCAGCAGUGGGGAAUAUUGCACAAUGGGCGCAAGCCUGAUGCAGCAACGCCGCGUGAGGGACGACGGCCUUCGGGUUGUAAACCUCUUUUAGUAGGGAAGAAGCGAAAGUGACGGUACCUGCAGAAAAAGCACCGGCUAACUACGUGCCAGCAGCCGCGGUAAUACGUAGGGUGCAAGCGUUAUCCGGAAUUAUUGGGCGUAAAGAGCUCGUAGGCGGUUUGUCGCGUCUGCUGUGAAAACUGGAGGCUCAACCUCCAGCCUGCAGUGGGUACGGGCAAACUAGAGUGCGGUAGGGGAGAUUGGAAUUCCUGGUGUAGCGGUGGAAUGCGCAGAUAUCAGGAGGAACACCGAUGGCGAAGGCAGAUCUCUGGGCCGUAACUGACGCUGAGGAGCGAAAGCAUGGGGAGCGAACAGGAUUAGAUACCCUGGUAGUCCAUGCCGUAAACGUUGGGCGCUAGAUGUGGGGACCAUUCCACGGUUUCCGUGUCGCAGCUAACGCAUUAAGCGCCCCGCCUGGGGAGUACGGCCGCAAGGCUAAAAACCUACAAAANAGAAUUGACGG